GAGGGGCAAGCGUUGUUCGGAAUUACUGGGCGUAAAGGGCGCGUAGGCGGCGUGCUAAGUCGAACGUGAAAUCCCCGGGCUCAACCCGGGAACUGCGUCCGAGACUGGCAUGCUUGAAUCCGGGAGAGGGAUGUGGAAUUCCAGGUGUAGCGGUGAAAUGCGUAGAUAUCUGGAGGAACAUCGGUGGCGAAGGCGGCAUCCUGGACCGGUAUUGACGCUGAGGCGCGAAAGCCAGGGGAGCAAACGGGAUUAGAUACCCCGGUAGUCCUGGCCCUAAACGAUGAAUACUUGGUGUGGCGGGUAUCGAUCCCUGCCGUGCCGAAGCUAACGCAUUAAGUAUUCCGCCUGGGGAGUACGGUCGCAAGGCUG
rnacentral:rRNA from 1 species